GAGAGUCUGGGCGACUGCGCACGCGCGGCUGGUGAGUGGCGGGUUCCGGCGCAGCUGUGGGGCUGGCUGCGCGCCGCUGAGGGGUUUUGGACUGGGUUAGGUGCGUUUGGUGUAUGUGUUUCUCACCUUUUUUCCAGGGCGGUGGUAGCGGAAGAGUUUAGUUAGCGGUGGCUGGCGGAUGCCUGAGGGAAGGAGCUGGCGCCGGCCUGAGAAUGGGUCGUGGUUGCUGGUUGGGCGCGGUCGGGCCUCGUGUCCGGGUCGCUGAAGGGGCCGCGUCCUGGGCCGCGCACGUUGGCUCCCGGGCCUCAGGCGGCCUUGGUGCUGAGGGGGACGUGAACCCUUAGGCUGCGGCAGCGCGUGGAGGCCCUCCUUCCGCGUAGAAACAGGACUCGGCCUGCGGUCCUUUCCAUCUUUGCUCUCAGAAGUUCGCGGAGGGAUUUGGCGAAAUACCCGACCAGGCUUGACUGUCCGCUCCUGGACGGCGGGCCCUGUCGCCGGGGCUUCUGAGGCGGGCACCCUGCCGGGUGCGGGGGCUGCGAGGUGGAGUAGACUAAGACGAGGGCGGCUUUACUGCGAAACGGCUUCACUGCUGCUGCCUUUACUCCGAAGCCAGUAGCUUCGGAGGUGCAGAAGAAGCGCUGGGACGAUCCUGGAGGGAGCCACGUGUCAGACAGGAAGGCCUUGCUGAUGGGGGUUGUGGUUACACGCGGUGUACAUCACAACGUCGCACUGCACACCUACGACCUGCAUUUCACUGUUAUAAACAACUUGUGAAAUGAGUGAUUUGGAAGAUGACGAGACACCCCAGCUUUCUGCCCACGCCUUAGCAGCUCUCCAGGAAUUUUAUGCUGAGCAAAAACAACAAAUUGACCUAGGCGAGGAUGAUAAAUAUAACAUUGGAAUAAUAGAAGAGAAUUGGCAGUUGAGCCAGUUUUGGUAUAGUCAGGAAACUGCUCUGCGACUUGCACAGGAGGCAAUUGCAGCUGUAGGAGAAGGUGGCAGAGUCGCAUGUGUGAGUGCCCCUAGUGUUUACCAGAAACUCAGAGAGCUGUGCAGAGAAAACUUUACUGUAUAUAUCUUUGAAUAUGACAAAAGAUUUGCCAUGUAUGGAGAGGAGUUUAUUUUCUAUGAUUACAAUAAUCCAUUGGACUUACCCGAAAGAAUUGCUGCACAUAGUUUUGACAUCGUAAUAGCAGAUCCUCCCUAUCUUUCGGAGGAAUGUCUCAGAAAAACAUCAGAAACCAUCAAGUACCUGACACGGGGCAAGAUUCUGCUGUGCACAGGUGCCAUCAUGGAAGAACAGGCAGCAGAGCUCCUUGGAGUGAAGAUGUGCACGUUUGUUCCAAAACACACCCGGAACUUGGCAAAUGAGUUCCGCUGUUAUGUGAAUUAUGAUUCUGGGCUGGACUGUGGGAUCUAAUUACAGAUGGUGACAUAACACGGGAAGGAACCCUGUCACAUUCCCCUUUUUGCAUUUUCCUAGUAGAUUUAAAAUAUAUACUCUCUUCCCCUCCCCCCAAACUGGAGCCGACCUUGCCUGAUUUUCAAAAUAAAGUACAUGACCUUCAUUAUUGUUUCCUUAGGGAGGGCCUGGCCUCACUAGAGCUCAGUCUUCUGCCAACCUGAAUUCAUGGAAUUCGAGUUGGAAGAAACCUUAGAACCUGCGUGAUGUACUCUCCUCGUCUAACAUAUGUCAAAACAGCAGAACAGUUGCGUGGCUUGCCCAAGGGCUCCUGAAUGAGACAGGAUCUUGGCCUCUGCCUUGGGCCAGAGCAGUCUGGUAGCAUCCUAGGGCUUGUGAGGACCCCCACCCCCAUGUCCCACCCCAGCCCUCCAAGGACACAGACUUGCCUCCAUGAAAAAAGGCAAUAAUCCAAUAACUAGCAUCUGAAUGCCUCUUGGAGCUCUCCUCCUCCAGGUUCUAGGUGGGCUGCGAGGGAUGACAGGUGCCCAGGUGCCCUCCCCACAUGGCUCAGACUCAGCACCCUCCCUCUGAACUGCCUGAGAAAAUGAAAGAUCCAUUUGUAAACCAAACACCAGGACCAAAAAAUGAAGCUGGGACGAGAGUGCUAGAUUCUCAACUGUUCAGAAAAUAUGCCUCUGUGCAUACCCCAGAGCACGUCUCAGCAAUCAGAAGUGAACACGCAGCAUGGCUGGGUCUCGAGGGCGUGAUGCUGAUGGAAGAGCUGCGCCGCACAGGCCACACACUGGAUGAUUCUAGCACACCGGGUGGGACGUGGGCUAGACGGAACCAGAGAGGUCCAGGAUGAGCUCCUGACUCUACUAUUUCCUGUCACCUGGGGCCAAUGCCUUCAUCUCUCCAGGCCCGGGCUCCUCACCAGGAGCACAAACCAGCCGCGGAGUUGCAGGAGCUCUGAAAAUCCACCCAGACGUCUGCAGUGCCUCUUCAGGAAGCCCCAGAGCCUUUAAGAGCAAACGGUGCCCUUCAACCAAUGCUCUUGGUAUGUCCCAGACUGUUGUUUGUGCUGAAGCUUCAUUUUCUCAGUAUCUGCUUUUUCCUCAUUGUUGGAGAAUUUCCCUUUCUGCUCUCAACUUAAAAAUUAACAUGUCUUUGAAAUAAGAAAUAUGUGCACAUAGCAGAAAAUGUAAAAGAUACAAGAGUAAAAAGUAGGUCUCCUCCCCAACCCCAGCCUCCAGAGCCCCUCAUAAGAGGCACCACAAUACCCCCGUUCUAAGGAUGCCUGUGUGUGCGUAUAUAUGUAGGCGUUUAAAACAGAAUUUGUCAUAUGUACAUAUUAUGUCGUAUUUUCCCUUUUAAGAUAGAAACGGCAGCAUGCUAUAUACGCCUUUCCCCGCUGUGUAUUGGUGAUUGAUUGAUCCACUUAUGACUCUUAGAGCUGCCUCCUUCUUCCUCACAGUGCACAGUGUCUAACUCAGCGGGCCUCGUUCUUCCUCACAGUGCACAGUGUCUAACUCAGCGGGCCUCUUCUUCCUCACAGUGCACAGUGUCUAACUCAGCGGGCCUCGUUCUUCCUCACAGUGUACAGUGUCUAACUCAGUGCCUGUUGGGGGUGUUUAGGUGGCUUCCAAUCUCUUGCUAUUACAGCAGUGAACACGUAUCCUUGUACGCAUAUCAUUCGGCACAUGGGCAAGUGUAUCUGAAAUAGUCAAAGGGUGUGUGAAUUUAAAAUCUUGAUAUUUAUACCAAAUUGCCCUCCAUAAAAGUUGUGCUGAUUCAUACCCCUGUAGUUGGAUGAGAAUGCCUUUCCUUCACAACCUUGCCAACGUAGCCUGCUGGGUGCCAGGAAAAAAAAAAGGGCUGCUCAGUAGAGUCUCCACAUGCACUUCGCUUAUGCCUGAAGCUAGCGUGGCUUUCUGUAUCGAGCGUUUGAGUCAUUUGACCUUCCUUCCCUGGGAACAGUCCCGAUCUUUGCUCAUCUUUCCAUGACGUCGCUGGUCCUUUUCUUACUGAUUUGUGGGAGCUCUUUGUGCCUUGGGUUGCAAACAUUUUUUCCCAGUUUGCCCUUGUAUUUUUCUUACUUUACUUUGCCAAGAAGAAACGGUGUAUAAUUAUGUAACUUCAUUUCUCAAUCUUGUCUUCUGUGACUUUUGGGGACUAUGAGCAGCUAAAUAGGGCCUCAUCCACUCCAAGAUUAUAAAUAUAAUUGCUUGUGUUUUUCUCUG